CCUUGCGCGUGGAAUUGCCCCGUGAGUUUGCAUUUUUCAACUUCGUGACUGACGUUCUGAGUUGAUUUGGAGGCGUUUAGCAUGUGGACACUUGGCGUCAGCGGAACGCCAUAACCUGCCUACUGUGGGCUUUUAUGAGAUCAAUCAGACGACCCGGUCCAAAUGUCUGGAGGAAUCCGAGUUUGCUGCUUAGGCACCAGGGAGUGGAGGGCAUGUGGCAAAUGGAGCGCGGACGUCCGCUAAACACACUCCGUUACUUUUUAAAAACACAGCAGUGGGCUGCGCCGGGGCUCACUUGGUUAAUCCUCCGCCUAGGCGCCUGCAUCCCAUAUGGGCGCCGGAUUCUGUCCCGGUCGGGGCGCCGGAUUCUGUCCCGGUCGGGGCGCCGGAUUCUGUCCCGGUUGCCCCUCUUCCAGGCCAGCUCUCUGCUGUGGCCAGGGAGUGCAGUGGAGGAUGGCCCAAGUGCUUGGGCCCUGCACCCCAUGGGAGACCAGGAUAAGUACCUGGCUCCUGGCUUCAGAUCCAUGCAGCACCGGCUGUGGAAGACCUUUCUCACUGUCUAACUCUGCCUGUCAAAUAAAUUUUAAAAAUUAAAAAAAAAAAAAAAAAAAAAAAAAAAAACACACAGCAAGGGGCCACAGGUGAAGCCGGCGCCUGCAGUGCCAGCAUCCCAUAUGGGUCCUGGUUCAGUCCCGGCUGUUCCACUUCCAAUCCAGCUCUCUGCUGUGGCCUGGGAAAGCAGUGGAAGAUGGCCCAAGUCCUUGGACCCCUGCACCUGCAUGGGAGACCUGGAAGAAGCUCCUGGCUCCCGAUCUGCACAGCUCCGGCCGUUGCGGCCAAUUGGGGAGUGAACCAGCAGAUGGAAGACCUCUCCUUCUCUCUCUGUGUAACUCUGACUUUCAAGUAAAUAGAUAAAUCUUAAAAAAAAAAAAAAAAAAAAAAAAAAAAAAGAGCGAGCUGUGUCUGCACGGUGUUCCAGCGUAGCCUGAUCCGGAGGCCUCACGCUCCGUCGGUCAGCACCACGGCGAUCCGUUUCUGUCGCCAUCUACCACACAGUCCAACGCAACCCCUUCUGCACGGUGGUUCAGGAACUCAGCGUCCCCUGCUAGUAACUCUACCACUCCACAGGAUUUCAGGGUCCGCCCUUGGGGUGGGGGAGCCCCCUUAGCGGGAUCUGCCCGCGUUCCAGCGUCCAGAACUCAGUGGCAUGACUGCAGCGGCACGGGAGGCCAGGAGAUGCAUGCAGCAGGCGCCCCGAGGGGAGAGCUGCCCCCAGAGGCAGUAGAGCGGCCAGCGCGCACAAGGAUGUGCACGCAGAUUCUGUUCCUGCUGGGUUUCCAUCUGUAUCUUACGUGAGGCACAGACACUGUCCAUCCGCUGUUCACCCCUCAGGUGCCCACAACAGCCAGGUUGGCCAGGCUGAAGCCGGGGCCUGGAACUCCCAUCAUCCGAGCCCCCAUGCCUCCCAGGGUGCACAUGAGCAGGAAGCCAGGACGCAAACCCAGCAGGUGUCCCAAGCAGCGUCACAACUCCUGUGCCAAACGCCCACCCACAAUCUGUUCUUUUCUUUUUUAAGGAUUUAUUUCAAAGAGUGAAAGACAGAGAAAGGGAGAUCUUCCACCCGGUGGUUCACCCUCCAAUUGACUGCAACAGUUGGGGUGGCUCAGGCCAAAGCCAACGGCCAGCAACUCCAUCCAGGUCUCCCAGUCCAGCUCUCUGCUGUGGCCUGGGAAAGCAGUAGAAGAUGGCCCAAGCCCCUGGGCCCCUGCACCCGCGUGGGAGACCUGGAAGAAGCUCUGGCUCCUGGCUUCGGAUCGGCGCAGCUCCACCAUUGCGGCCAUUUGGGGAGUGAACCAGCAGAUGGAAGACCUCUCUCUCUCUCUCCCUUUCUCCCUCUCUCUCUCUCUCUCUCUCUCUCUCUCUGCCUCUCCUUCUCUCUCUUUGUAACUCUGACUUUCAAGUAAAUAAAUAAAUCUUUUAAAAAAUAA